rnacentral:lncRNA from 1 species
AAUAGGUACUGCUUCGGCGGGAAGGUAAACGGCAUUUCUGUGUGCUGCUCUGGUUCCCCAGAAGCGGCUUAGUCGUGCUGGCCACAUGACCCGGAAAAACUGUCUGCGGACAAACGCCAGCUCCCUCGGCCAGUAAAGCAAGAUGAGCGCCGCAACCCCAGACCUCGUUAGCGACUGGACUUAACUGUCAGCGGUCCUUUACCUUUACCUUUACAUAUGUGUUUGUCUGGUACAUUUAUGAACGUUUAUUUUAGAUCUUAGACCUUAUAAUUCUCAUAACACUUGGAAAGGGAGUUUAAAUGUUGGGGGGGGGAGGCAGGUGAGAGUCAGUUGAGAGAGGUAGGUUAUAGAAGGGGUGCACUUGGUGAGGGACCUGAAGCUGGGCUGGACAGCUCUUCAGGAUCAGUAGUCCAGCAGUAGGAUCAAGCAGUAGGAUCAAGCCCAUCAGUGACCAUGAGAAGGAACUCUGAAGGUAGGAGGAGAUCGGAGGCACAGAGGAGAUGAGUGGCAUAGAAUUAUUAUUAUUAUUAUUAUUAUUAUUAUUAGCAUCACCCGUCAGUAGUGCAUGUGGCUUGGCUCCCUGGCUUGACUUGUCCACAGCUGUUGAUAGCUUCGCAGGUCCUCAGCUGUGGUCCCCAGAUGAUAUUUUCUGUGGCGAAUAUCUGGUUGCUUACAAGCUUGAACAUAUGGCCUUUCCAUGGCUCUAUUCUUUUAUCUGUAAGGCUCCGUACACCUCACACCUUGAAGUCACGGGGUCAUUCCAUUAAAAUGUCAACCUACAGACUCAUUGUUCCUAAACAUGUUCUAGAUCAUUUU